rnacentral:misc_RNA from 1 species
GCAGACGACAGAUGGAGUAAAUUGUUGACAGCCUUACAAACCUGUGGAGUCUCUACCUGUCUACUGUCACCCUUCAAUUUACCAUGGGCUGUAAGACCUAUUAUCAUUCCUUACUCAUCUUGCUGGUAUAUCUCUCAAGAACUAAUGGUCUUGGAGAAGUUAUAUAUGCCGUCAAUGCAGGUGGUGAUGCUCACAUUGAUGUUUAUGGUGUGAGAUAUGAGAAGGAUCCUCUCACGGGUAAAGUAGGCACUGCUUCAGACUUUGGCAAGCAGCUAGUUAUUGGGAGAGUACCACCAGGUGAUCAGGUGCUGUAUCAGACUGAGAGAUAUCACCACUCAACAUUUGGUUAUGAAAUCCCCCUCAAAGGUGAUGGAGACUAUGUUCUUGUUCUUAAAUUCUCGGAAGUCUACUUCAACGCACCAGACCAGAAGGUUUUUGAUGUUGCAAUGAAUGGUGACAUGACAGUGGUUCCAGCGCUAGACAUCUUUGGGAGAGUGGGUCGGGGGGUGGCGCAUGAUGAGUAUGUACCCUUUACGGUCGCUUCUAAUACACUCAUAGUUGGAGGCCAAGAAAGUCCUCUCAGGAGUAAUAGAGUCAAGGUUGACUUUGUAAAGGGUUACAAAGACAAUCCAAAAGUUAAUGCAAUAUUUGUAAUCAAGGGAAGAUUAGAUGAUGUUCCGAAGCUGCCGCCAUUACCCAGAGAAGAAGACCUUGACAGUGAUAUAGAAGAACCCAGGCCAAGUGCAAACCUGCAAAACAAUAACAACCAGAAUAACAAACAGUCACAGACCACGAAGCGUCGUCCCAGUGGACCCCGUACUCCCGACCCCUACGCCUUAGAUGACACUAGCUCCAUGCUCCCAGUUUUUGUUGCCAUUGGGGCAGCUAUACCCAUUCUCUUUUGCCUCUGUAAACUGUGAUGAAUAUAUUUUCUUCAAAUUUUCCAAAGCUAAGUGAAAUAUUGUGUUGAUUUUUGAAAAACUUCUUUUGUAUCCCAAUACCUCUCUGUUAAAGAAUAUUUAUUGGGAAGGUAUUCAUCAGUAUUCAAAUGGUAAUGGUGCAAAAUUAUUUUGCGUUGUCAAAUGAUUGUGUUCCGAGAUGCUUAACGAUCAGAAUGGCCAAAUGGAUGACAGUAUUAGAAAAAUGGUGAGUAUUAAACAUUUUUUAAUCUUAAAAGGUAAGGAUUGAUUUGGUGCUUUGAAUUUUCCUUUUUAGGCAUAAUGGAGAUUAUUAACGAUGACAUUUGCAGUGUUGGGGGAUCCACAGCAACCGGGAGUAGGUAGGGAUACCAUGCCAUUAUUUUGCUGGAAUAGGUAGGGAUACCAUGCCAUUAUUUUGCUAGUCUUUGUGGUGCUCACAGACAUCUACUGGUACCGGGAAACUUGUGGGCCUCCCGUGUUUUAUUUUUUCUUAUCAUAAGUGAUAAAUUAACCAAAGAUUGCUUUGUUCUUAGAACAAAGGCUUUGAAGUCUUUCUUGGGAUCCAAGUUGUGUGGUAUGUACACAUCUUAGCUUUUAUUGUGAGAGGUAAUGGAGAAUAUAAUUAAUGUUUUUAUCACCCUUCCAGGAGUGCAUUUAUUCUUAACACGUUUAGGUAAUUAAUUGUGUUUUCUCCCUAAACACUAAGAAGAAAUGCAACCAUUAAGUUAGAUGUGAUCAUACAUACAACCCUUCACCUUCACUUCUAUAGUGUGGGUACAAAAGGGUACUGUACUGUAUUAGUUCAUUGAAGGUGGCACAAACAUAAGGAUGAUAUUUGCAUGUACAGUAUUUUUGUACAACUUAUUCAUUCCUUCUGUCCAGGUUUCCAGUAGAGAAUGAGAUAAGCUGUAAAGUAUUGCUGAGUUAUAUUGCGUCCAUUUCUUAAGAUAAGUGAUUUGCUGGUUGAUGAGGAAACCUUGGAUUAGAUGUGAAUUUGCUUAAUAAAUAUUUGACUUCGAAGUUUUCCAAAAUAGUCUUAGUUACGUAUUCUGAUUUACAAUUUUGUUACUUCAGCUUAUUUGAUAUUUAUAGAUUAAUUUUCAUGCAUUUAUUUACUUUUUGCUAAUUUGUUUUUCUCUGCACGUUUUAUUUUGUGGAAUAGCGAGUUUAUGGUAAGAGAAGGGUGAUGAGGGCUUUGUUGACACAUUCUUUGGCAUUGUUGCAAACAUACUACUACAUAGAGCAACUUGAAGUAAUUGUUUUCCAGGCUAUACCUGUAUGGCUUGUCCAGAGUGGUCCUUAAACUAAUGAAAUACACACCAGUUGCCUGGGUAGUGGUGUACAACACUUGGCUUUACCAUUUGUACCGUUAACCCUGCGGCACUAUGGCAGGAAUUUAGAUAUCUUUGUAUAUCUCAUCUGCCUUACAAACAGGUUACUGUAAAGUUUAAAGUUACAUUUUCUGUUGUAUAUCUUAGUUUUGGUUGAAGAAUGUGUAUAACCUGGCUAUGUUCUUGUUAGCACACUGGCUAAUUGGCAAAUGUCUGAGUGUCAUACAAUAUUCAGUAAACCCCUUUCAUUUUUGGAAGCUUAUUAUUUUUUAUUUAAUAUUUGUGACGGGAAAUAUUUUCCAUUGUACUAUAUUGUAUAUUUUUAAAAAUGUUGGUGGGUGUUAUUCUUAAGUUUAUAUCAUUCAUGAAUGAAAUAGUGAUUACUGGUACAGUAUUGGGGUGUUGUAUGCUGAGCACUGUGUUGCUGAACAAUAACCUACUGAAUAUCUUGUAAGGGACUGAUCUCGUUGUUCCUUGACAAUCCUUUUACUAGCAAAAAGUAUUUGAAUUAUGACUUGUGAUACAUAGUAUUGUAGAUAUCUUAGUGUUCUUUCAGCAUAGAUCACUGUCAUGUCUUCAGACAUCUUUUAUGAUGUUGGUUAACACAUGAGGUUCAUGUUUUAAGUGCAACACCAAAUGUAGUAAGAUAUCUACUGAGUAUACACAUAUCUGGCCCUCUAUCUCAGUUACCUUCUCCCUUUUUUAUUUUGAAAUAUUUCUUUAUGCAUAAAACUAAAGAAUGCAUUGUUUUUAACUUAAGGCAUGACAGUGCCAGGUAACAAAAGUGCAUCUUGUGUGUAAAUGAUUUGUAAAUUACUGACAAGGGUACUUAAAUACAACCAUGGAAACUGACUAAUGUGUGCCAUACACCAAUACAGUACUUAUGUUGUACUGAAAUGAAAACAAAAAUUUUAGUCAUGGGGGUCUGUUUAUAAACAUUAAGCUCCUGUUUGUACAUAAGGAAAAGAUGGUUUAUUAUAGAGAACAUGUUACUCUGUUUUAUUUUGACCAGGGUGAAUCGAUAAACCCUAUACUGUACUGGGUGGUUACUUCUGGUGGCUUAUCUUAGGUAGAUAAACUAAGCAGAUCUCUUUGUUACACACUUAAAUGGUUCAAAUAAUUCUAUGGUUAUUUAGUUAAUGAAAUUUUAAGCUUAAGAGAUGAACAUGUUCACAGAAUGUAUGUAUAAAGUGAGGAGAUAAGUGUGCACACCUUCAGAUAGUGUCAUGGUUCCAUUUACCUAAUACUGUACUGUAAUGUAAAGUUGAGUAUUUUAAAGACUUUGAGUAUUAUAGUGACAGUAUUAUCUAGUAGAGAGUUUCCAUUAGUUUAUCUUCCUUUUAUCCUCACCUCCCUUAUAAAUUCCUGUACAUUAUGGGUCUGGAGUUUUCAUUCAUAUUUCUCAUCACGUUUAACAUCCUCACACAAUUUUUCACUGGCUAAAGUACACUUGGUGCCUCUUUAACUCUCACUUUCGUCCUGAUGUAUCUAAUGAUAAAGAUGUUUAAUCCCAUUUGCUCUUUUUAUUCAAUAUGCUUUUUCUCCCACCAUGUUGUCUCAUACUAACAGUUUGUGGUGUUUUGAAAAUUGUAUGUAACCCAAGCAUUAGAGAUGGCCAUAAAACAUUGAGGGUUA